UUUAGAACGGAUUUGAUAAUAACAAGUCAUUUUGGGAAUUGGUGGUCGUCGGCGAUUUCUUGAGCCGCAGCUUUGCCGCCUAUGCCAACGCCAACCAAGACAAACGGGCCUCAAGCUUUCCAGUCUGGGCCGGAUACCUUCGGGCUUGGCUUCCUGGGCCGUUUCGUCUUGUACUUUUCCUUCUGGUGGCUUGGCGCGCACCGUGACAUCCAGCCAGCAACGGCGUCUCUUCUUCGACUCUUUUCCUAGUUCGCUUGACGCCGUGGCAGCCCGGCCUAGAGUCCUUCUCGCGCCAACCAAAGCGACGGCUCCUCUCCCCCGCAGCCUAGGGUUCCCCUCUCGUCUCCCGUCGGAUCAGUGAGCACGUCCUGCCAAGAUCUCCCCUCGCCGCGCUCUCCCGAUGGCGACCAGCGACGAGCUCGCCCAGAUCGACAUCUCCAAGGAGGAGAAGGACAAGCUGGUGGCGGAGGUGAUGCGCUACGUGCUCUUCAAGACGCACCAGAACUCCGACUGCCCCAUCAAGCGGGAGGAGCUCACCGGGAUCGUCACCAAGAACUACCGCCAGCGCGCCCUGCCCACGCUCGUCAUCAACGAGGCCAAGGACAGGCUCGCCGCCACCUUCGGGUACGAGAUGAGGGAGCUGCAGAGGACCCGCGCGCCGGCCACGCGCUCUGGCCGGCCGUCACAGUCGCAGCUUAACGUGGAGGCCAAGAGCUAUGUUCUGGUCAGCAACUUAGACCCUGAGGUGUACAGCAAGUAUGUUGAGGACAAAGGCGCUGCCCAUCUGUCUGGCUUUGCUUUCGCUGUCAUUAGCACUAUUCAUCUUGCUGGUGGCAAAAUGCCUGAAGAGGACCUCUGGCAUCAGUUGAAGCGGGUGGGUUUGAAUGAGAAUGAUGAAACUCACCCUGUUCUUGGUAACAAUAAGCAGAAGCUCGAACACCUAGUGCAGCAAAGGUUCCUGCUGAAGGAGAAAGUUGCUGGACCAGAAGGCCAUUUCAUGAUGUAUGAACUUGCUGAGAGGGCAUUGGAUGAAUCCAUCAGUGCGAAGAUUAAAGAUCAUAUUUCACAGGUUGUGGGCGCAAGCUUGCAGAAGUAGAUCGAAGUGGAUGGAUAUGACAAUCAGUAGCCUUGUAGGUUAUCUGCCUUUGUGUUAGGAGUUAGGACAAGCUGACUCUCAGGCUGGGAAGCUAUCUAUCAUCUUGCAUGGAUACGAGGCUUGUACUCUGCAUGCAAUUUUGUACAGGAGAUGUGUGCAUCACAAGCCGUGACAAAUUUGGUAAACCGUAUUGUCAGUCAUUGGAUGCGUCGUCCUCUCUCAUCUGUCUACCAGAACUUUCACCUUUCAGGGACCUGACCACAAUGUAGCCAAACGUGUAGCGCUGUCUACCAGAGCUUUCACCUCCGGCUUUUCAGAUGAGCUGUAGUAUAUCACUCAUGGAUGUAUGAUAAUAUCAUUUUUCUAGCAGGAUUAUUCUAAUGACCCACAUAAAGCACAAACGCCUAGUAAAUGGAGUUUACACAAUUACCAA